GUUGUGUUUUAUGUACUAUUGUUUGUAUGUUGGUCAUUUCCCUUUAGCCAUGGCGUUGUCAGUUUUAAUUUAUGAGUUUGAAUGUCCCUCUGAUAUCUGUCUUCCCUCUUUCAAAAUAUUAGAGGAUAACAAAGGGACAUUCAAACAUUAAUUCCUGUUAUUUGGCUCUCUUAGUGUGUUGUUCCUAUUUGUCCAUGAAAUAUCUAGAAUUUG
rnacentral:lncRNA from 1 species